AUAGGAGAUGUUCCUGAAGUUGAACCGGCAGCAAGCUAGUUUGGCGCGGAGUGCUCACAACCUGCAUCCCCGAACGUAUGCAUAAAAAAUUUAAAGGUCUGAUCGAUGCUUAUGUUGUUUGAACUCAUACAUGUUGACGACGAAGCUGUCGUAAAUGCACUCAUCAAGUCUGUCUUCCUGAAAAUGGACAGUGCAACUUUGAACUUGUUAUGCAUAUCUGGAGGAUCAAUUUUUCCACCUACACCUACAUCAAAUUGAUCUCCCGCAGGGACUAUUGACAAUUGUUCUUCUUCCAUAUCGUCCAUCUCCUUUUCUUCAACCUCAUGAGGUCCAUGGCCUUGUUGUGCAGAACACAUAACUUCCUUCUGUGUGCCACCAUCGGUUGCUGACAUUGCCAGGUUGUUUCCUAUUUGAACAUCCAACGGUGUUGUCUCUUUUCCAAUAUUCUUGUUAUGUGCCAUACUGAAUUCAUUUGCUGCUUCAAGAAGUCAUCUAUUGCCUUAUGUGCUGCUUUUUGAGCACCUUCAGAUUCUUCAGAGAUGUCCACCCUAGCCCUCUUUGGUGUGUGCCUCUUUGAUGUCGUAACUUUUUUUUUCUUUUCACACCUAAUAUACUUCUCGCCUGAGUAUGAACAUUAGCAGAAGCGACCUCUACUGGCUCUAUGCUAAGAGGAGUUUCUUGAUCUUCUUGAAUGCGAACUGAGAAUUUGUGAAAAAGUACAAUCGAAAGUGAACACGCAUAUUCUGAUAAGUGCUUGAAGUUAUAUAAUGUUUGAAUUUUACAAUA